UACGGGGGGGGGCAAGCGUUGUUCGGAAUUACUGGGCGUAAAGGGCUCGUAGGCGGCCAACUAAGUCAGACGUGAAAUCCCUCGGCUUAACCGGGGAACUGCGUCUGAUACUGAAAGGCUUGAAUCCGGGAGAGGGAUGUGGAAUUCCAGGUGUAGCGGUGAAAUGCGUAGAUAUCUGGAGGAACACCGGUGGCGAAGGCGGCAUCCUGGACCGGCAUUGACGCUGAGGCGCGAAAGCUAGGGGAGCAAACGGG
rnacentral:rRNA from 1 species